UGAAAUUCACGUGUUGCUAUAGGUGGGUCGCCAUGUUCUUUCAGUGGUGGUGCAUCAGAAGUUUGAUAGCUUGUAAUGUAACAGGCACCAAACUAAUUAUUUGCUUUAAUUAAUUUUUUGCAGCUAGCAUGUGCAGUGGCAGCCGCGGACCUGUUUCUGAAGCGAGUACUUCCACUUCAACCUAUGGCCGUCCGGAACAGUGCCCUCCUCGCACUACAGCAGAGCGCUGCAGAGAUUAUCGCAGCAAGCAGAGACAGUCCCGUGAAACCUCGCUCGAGGUUUUGGCAGACUCCUCAGUGGCCAGAGUGGAACAUGCAGCUGCCUUGUGGAAUGAACUCUGUGAGUUGCUGCGUAAGGAUGAUGCCAUCCUCGAGGAAGUGCAAGACACCAUGCAGAAUUUGAAAGACAUGGUUGACGAGUUCUGUGUUGAAUUACAGAAGUCACAGGACACUUUCAAUGGUGCCUUUCAGAAUGUG